rnacentral:rRNA from 1 species
GACGAACGCUGGCGGCGUGCUUAACACAUGCAAGUCGAACGGAAAGGCCCUGCUUUUGUGGGGUGUUCGAGUGGCGAACGGGUGAGUAACACGUGAGUAACCUGCCCUUGACUUUGGGAUAACUUCAGGAAACUGGGGCUCAUACCGGAUAGGAGCUCCUGCUGCAUGGUGGGGGUUGGAAAGUUUCGGCGGUUGGGGAUGGACUCGCGGGUUAUCCGCUUGUUGGUGGGGUAGUGGCUUACCAAGGCUUUGACGGGUAGCCGGCCUGAGAGGGUGACCGGCCACAUUGGGACUGAGAUACGGCCCAGACGCCUACGGGAGGCAGCAGUGGGGAAUAUGGCACAAUGGGCGGAAGCCUGAGGCAGCAACGCCGCGUGCGGGAUGACGGCCUACGGGUUGUAAACCGCUGUCGCCGGUGACGAAGCGGGAGUGACGGUAAUGGGUAAAGAAGCACCGGCUAACUACGUG